AAUUUAUGAGCUUGUAAAGCAUAUAUUUUGAAAAUAUAAGAAAAAACAAUAAAGUUUUAUAAAUUU
rnacentral:tRNA from 1 species